rnacentral:rRNA from 1 species
UAGAUACCCUGGUAGUCCACGCUGUAAACGAUGAGUACUAGGUGUCGGGGGUUACCCCCCUCGGUGCCGCAGCUAACGCAUUAAGGACUCCGCCUGGGAAGCACGCUGGCAAGAGUGAAACUGAAAGGAGGUGACGGGGACCCGCACAGGUAGAGGAGCAUGUGGUUUAAGUCGAAGCAACGCGAAGAACCUUUCCUAAGCUUGACAUCCCAAGGACAGCUCCUUAAUCGGGGAGUUCCCUGCGGGGACAUUGGUGACAGGUGGUGCAUGGUUGUCGUCAGCUCGUGUCGUGGGAUGUUGGGUUAAGUCCCGCAACGAGCGCAACCCUUGUCUUUAGUUGCCAUCAUUAAGUUGGGCACUCUAGAGAGA